rnacentral:lncRNA from 1 species
AUGCUCAGUGACCCUCAAAGAGGGGAGCAAGCAAACAGGGGAACCCCACCCUGGGUUUCAGCACAAAAAUGAAGGGAAAGCGAGGGAUGAGAGAAAGGUAAGAGAAAAAUGAAAGACAGAGACCAGGCAGAGAUACAUAUGAGAGUUUAUUUGUCAGAGCUGACAGAUAAAGGCCAUUUCUCUAUAGGAGAGAGAGGCAAAACAGGCUUGAGUUCUGUGACUUUUAUGGGACAGGUUCAGGAAUCAGAGCCAGACAGUUCCUAAUGUGGGCAGUUAAGGGUUGGGUUGGUAUGAGGGAAUGGUGAUGAAAAACCAGCCUCUAUCUCAGAGCAAAGCCUGUCCAAGGAAGGGACAUGGCCUUUGUCCUUGGAAAAACCCACAGAGCACUCCUAAGCACAUUCCCACCCUGCUAAGUUAUUUAUCCACAAAUAACAGAGAGAUCUGCUGCGCCAGGUGUCCCUGACUCAGUCAGGCUAGGUGGGGACCCAUAGCAGCCCCCUAGCAGCCACCAAUCAGCAUGAGUCAAGGAAAUACCUGGGAUGCCAGAUGACCCUCCCAGUAGUUUAUGGUAGUUGAUAACAUAUUGGGAAACCAUGUAGUUCAGCACAUACACCCCUCUUGGCUUAAACCAAUCAGUUCAAAUGAAUACCCCUUUUGGACUGACCAAUCACCCCUACCCAACUUGUUCCCGCCAGUGAAUGUGCUAAUCAUGUUUUAGAGUUGUUAUUUGAUUUUCCUGCGGUGUGUGAUGAUUUGCUAUGAUGUAUGUGAAGUCCCUGCCCUCUCCAAAGAAUGUAUAAAACUGCUGCAAACCCUGGGCUCGGGGCCUCUCAGCGUCACCAGUUGCUGUGUGUGUGCGUGGAG